rnacentral:rRNA from 1 species
UAUUUUAAAGAGAGUUUGAUCCUGGCUCAGGACGAACGCUGGCGGCGUGCCUAAUACAUGCAAGUCGAACGAACGGAGGAAGAGCUUGCUCUUCCAAAGUUAGUGGCGGACGGGUGAGUAACACGUGGGCAACCUGCCUGUAAGUUGGGGAUAACUCCGGGAAACCGGGGCUAAUACCGAAUGAUAAGGAGUGACGCAUGUCACUGCUUUGAAAGAUGGUUUCGGCUAUCGCUUACAGAUGGGCCCGCGGUGCAUUAGCUAGUUGGUAGGGUAA